rnacentral:rRNA from 1 species
UGUUGGCUUAGAAGCAGCCACCAUUUAAAGAGUGCGUAAUAGCUCACUAGUCGAGUGACUCUGCGCCGAAAAUGUACCGGGGCUAAAUACACCACCGAAGCUGCGAAUUGAUACCAAUGGUAUCAGUGGUAGGGGAGCGUUCUAAGUGCAGUGAAGUCAGACCGGAAGGACUGGUGGAGCGCUUAGAAGUGAGAAUGCCGGUAUGAGUAGCGAAAGACGGGUGAGAAUCCCGUCCACCGAAUGCCUAAGGUUUCCUGAGGAAGGCUCGUCCGCUCAGGGUUAGUCAGGACCUAAGCCGAGGCCGACAGGCGUAGGCGAUGGACAACAGGUUGAUAUUCCUGUACCACCUCUUUAUCGUUUGAGCAAUGGAGGGACGCAGAAGGAUAGAAGAAGCGUGCGAUUGGUUGUGCACGUCCAAGCAGUUAGGCUGAUAAGUAGGCAAAUCCGCUUAUCGUGAAGGCUGAGCUGUGAUGGGGAAGCUCCUUAUGGAGCGAAGUCUUUGAUUCCCCGCUGCCAAGAAAAGCUUCUAGCGAGAUAAAAGGUGCCUGUACCGCAAACCGACACAGGUAGGCGAGGAGAGAAUCCUAAGGUGUGCGAGAGAACUCUGGUUAAGGAACUCGGCAAAAUGACCCCGUAACUUCGGGAGAAGGGGUGCUUUCUUAACGGAAAGCCGCAGUGAAUAGGCCCAAGCGACUGUUUAGCAAAAACACAGGUCUCUGCGAAGCCGUAAGGCGAAGUAUAGGGGCUGACACCUGCCCGGUGCUGGAAGGU